rnacentral:rRNA from 1 species
CUGAGACACGGACCAGACUCCUACGGGAGGCAGCAGUGAGGAAUAUUGGACAAUGGAGGCAACUCUGAUCCAGCCAUGCCGCGUGCAGGAAGACUGCCCUAUGGGUUGUAAACUGCUUUUAUACAGGAAGAAACACUCUCACGUGUGAGAGCUUGACGGUACUGUAAGAAUAAGGAUCGGCUAACUCCGUGCCAGCAGCCGCGGUAAUACGGAGGAUGCAAGCGUUAUCCGG